AACGCACCUCUCCCUCCCACAAUAGCCAAUUCACGAAUUGCAUCUGAAGAUGAACUCCUUGAGAUUAAACUAAAAGAGCUCCCAUUGAACCUGCCACUCGUAAAUGCGAAAUCAGCGUACAUAACUGUAGUAAACACAGCAGGGUCUCGACUGGAUGAUACAUAGAGUCCUUGAGCGUUUCCAAUCAACGUUGAUGUUAGUGCAGGCCCUACGGUAAGGGGGUCAUUAAUUGCAAACAAUGUGCCAAACCCGAAUGAGGAUGGUUGCGUGAUGUUGGGACGGGCUAUGACGACUGCACUGGGGUUUUCACCACUGACGGUAUCAUGAAGGAAGAAGUGGAGUCGGGUCAUCUUUUUCGCCCGCUGAGUAGCUCGCAUAACAGUUUUCGAGUAGUAUUGGCCAUAGACUGGCACUAUGGCAAGGCAAAAUAACAUUGCCAAUGCAAAUAUAUUAUGUUCUUUCUUCAUUUUUCUUCUCAAUAUUUUUACCUCAAUUAUAUUUGGUUUUUUGCUUCUUUGUUGUAUACACCUCACAAACUGCUUUAUAUAGAAUUUGGGUUGGAUGUUUAUUCCAUAUUUUCAUACUAAACUAUUUUGUAAAGGCCUGAAAUUGAUAUUCCUCUCAUUUUCUUUCCAUAAAUUAGGUCAAAUGAAUUCUAGAAUAAACAAUAUGAUGAUGAUCAAUAACAAUGGGUGUUUCAACAUUGGCAUAAGAGUGACUGAUUAGUCAAAACAGAAUACAAAUCAAACUAAAAUCAUGUCAUAUUUCUUAAUAUUAUAUAUAUAUAUAUAUAUAUGCAUUUGUGAUAUAUGAUUUUAUACAUUGUAAAUGAAUAAGAGGACAAUAUAUUUCAAGAGCUUUUUAUAAAAAUAAGCUAAUAAAAAAAGAGAAAAUUAAACCUAAUUUACGAUAAUAUUUUUAAGUAAUGUGAUGUCACCCUAAUAUAUUUAAUAUAAACUCUCUCCAAAUUAGUUCCUUAUAAUGACUAUCAAUUAACCACUCAAAGGUGAAUAAACAAUAAAAUCCUUUCACAUAAAAGUUCCUUAGAAAGAACGUAUAUGCUCUCUCUAAAUUCAUAAAGCUCAAAUCACAUUUUUUUCAAAGUAAAAUGAGAUAAAAACUAUUUUAAUUCAAAAGCUUUCUCUUCAAGUUUUUCUCUAUGACUUUUCAAACACAAUUUCUCCAAUAUUUAUUUUCAAGGAUUUUAGAAAAUAAUUUUCAAAAUUCAAAAUUUAAAAUAUUUAUAAAAAUUUUAAAAUUUAUAUUUUUAAAAAAUUUAAAAAUUCUAAAAAAUAUAUAAAAAAUUUAAAAUUUUAGAAUUAUUCUAAAAUAAUAAUUUUGAGACCUAAAUAAAUUAAUUAAUUAUUUAAGUUUAUCAUACUAAAAUAAUACUCGUUUCUACUCAUCUUUACCCAAGCCUUUAUAUUAUCUGCAUGAUUUAUCUUCAUCUCUUACAUUUGGACUAGAACUCUUCAAAGCUUGCUAUGAAGAUAAAGAUAAGAUCUCUCCAAGUAUCAUACUAGAAAUAAAACUGUCAUAUUAAAGUCUUUCAAAUGUGUUGCGUCAAAUCAAUAUAUCAUGUUUUUACUGCUCAUAAUAAAGAUAAAUACAAAGUCAAAAAUUAUCAACCGAAAAUUUAAUUGAGACAUAAAUUGUGAUUUCAAAUAUGGUGAUAAUCAAAAGUAAAAUUUACUCCACGGCCUAAUUCCUAACAUAUAGGUUACUUUAAAAAUAACAAAUAAUGUUGAAUUAAAUUAAAUUAAUAUACUUACUAGUUUUAUUAAUUUUAUAAUGGAAAAUGGAGAACAAUGAUAUGUCUUUGGAUUUCAUAGUGAAGAACCGUAGAAAUUACCGUGCUUCGUAAAUAUUAAACAAGCAAUUUAUUUAUUAAAUUUUUCAGAGGCAACAAAUAAUCAGUACAAGAAAUUCUAACAACAUUUUCAAUUGUUUUAGAGCUUCUGUAAAUUUGAUUUAACCCAAUACUGUAUAAAUGACAUAUUUUUGAUUAUAUGAUUGAUGAUUAAAGAUUGUUUAGAGAAUUUUGAAUUGAUAUAGCAUGAUUCUUGAUGUGAGUUUUAAGUCCCAAUUUCAGACUCAAAAAUGUGAUGGGCUUCCACUACCUCAAGGCCCAACAACAAGAUCAAAUGCCAAGCAAAUCAAAGCAAGAUUCAAUCAAAGACAAUAUGUUGGAAUGAAUAUUUUUUAGGGAAUGAGGAAUGAUACAUGCAUAAAAUGGCUAAAUUUUUUUAAAUUCCAUUCAUAGAAGCUUCCAAUUUUUAAGUUUGGGGGAUCAGCAGACUUGCAAUGACUUUUUGGAUGGUAUUUAGACAUUUCUUGGUUAAGACAUAUUCAUGCUAUUCGAAAAUCUAUCUCUUAGCUUAAAAUGCACUUUGAAUUACUUGAUUUUGACUUCGAGAGCUCAAGUUAUGACCGUUUUAGUGAAGACUGUGUGAGUAGAAUUUUUGGACAGGAUUAUGAUGAGAAUUAUGAGUUUUGGGUCUUUAAUUCGAGUUUAAAUCAUAUUUGGUUUGGGUUUUAUGCUUAAUGUAACAUCCCGAAUUAGGGCCUAGUCGGAACAGUGGUUUCGGGACCAAAAAUCCAACACAAUAAAAUUUGUUUUUAUUAUAUUUUUAUGGUCUACAAUUUCAUGGGAUGAUUUUGUGAAAAUUUCGUUCGAAAAUUUUGACAUUUGGGCACUCAAUUUCGUCAAAAGGACUAAAUUGUAAAAAGUGUAAAAGUUGCAUUCUACAUGUUAGAGGUGUCUAAUUGUCAUGAAAUUUUAAAUUGGACGCCCUUAAGUGGUUAGAUCAAUGGAUAAUUUUUUGGACAAAAAUGGACAUAAAAGUGAAAUAGAAUAUUUUUAAGUUAGGGGCAUUUUGGUAAUCUAGUAAUUAAAAUGAAUUAAAAACAAAAUUAAAAGCCAAUUUUUGUCCAUCUUCUACCUCAUGGCCAAAACUAGUAUGAAGAAGACAUAGCUAUGGUUUUUCAAGCUUCCAAGCUCGAUUGUAAGUCCGUUCUAGCCCCGUUUUUAAUGAUUUUUACGUUUUUAAAAUCCUCAUAACAAGAUCUACUCAUUUCUACCCAUAUUUUGAGCUACGGUUUGUGUUUAAAAAUUGACCCAUGGAUGACAUGCAUGUGUUUUGAUGUCUAAUGGUAGAAUAUGAAUGCUCGGUGUGUAAUAAACGAGUUUUACUAAGUGAUUUUCGGUGAAAUUGUCAAAAAGGACUGUUUUGUAAAUGUUACAAAAUUUGUCAUAAAGUUGUGAUUUAUUGGAAAUUAUGGGCUGCUACAGUUAUGAAAAUUAUUCAGCUAGACAUAAAAUGCAAGGAAAUUGAAUAAAAAUCAUGUUACGAGCCUAGGAGCCAAAGUGCAAAUAUGUAAAAAUUUAGGGGUCAAAAUAAAAAUUUGUAAAAGUAUGAUUUUUGGACCCAUAUGAAUAAUGUGACUAAUUAGUAAGCUAAAUAUGGUAUUAUAGAUCAAGGAAAAUGAGGUUCGGGCAUAGAUUGGAAAUGAAUGAGAUUAUGGACUAAAUCAAAAUAUAUAGUUGUACUCGAACCGAGGUAACUUCAUGUGAUUUUAAUAAUGCAAUAUUGUAUUUGAAUGCUAAUGCUUCGAUAUUAAAUGAGUUGUAAGUAUAUAUAUGUGAAUAAUUUGAUAUUAUGUGAUUAUUUUGAUGAUAUAACAUGUUCUUGAUGUUUUGCUAUUAUGAUGAAAAUGUUGCAGUGCCAUGUGAUUGUGAGAUAUUGCUAUGUGAAUGAAUCCACAAUUCGAGUACGUCUGAUAAAGGUUUAGAAGUUUGAUGGAAUAUGAUGUUUCUUUGAAAUGAGUAAGUUUGUAUGUAAAUAAUAUUUCGAUUCUUUUUAUGUUAUUAUCUUUUGUUAUUAUAUGAGAUGUGAUUGCCUAUAGAAUGAUCAAUUGAUGUAAACUACAAAUCGAAAUUGACUAAGAACGAGUUAGUAAAAUGUUGAAAAGUGAAGAAUUUCCCGAUUGAACCUUCGGAAUAGAAGAGAUACAAAUGAUUUGUUGUGAGUCAUGUGUGUAGUACUAAGUGCAGGCUACUAUGCGUACCCGUUAACUUUGAUCACGUGUGUAGUACUAAGUGUAGGCUACUACGUGUAUCAAAUGGUUAAGUCACGUGUGUAGUACUAAGUGCAGGCAACUACGCGUACCAGAGAGCUUCGGUUACAAGGGUGGUAUAUGCACAGGCCACUGGGUAUCUGUUAUUAUUCUGAUGAGUUCAACGAGAAAUUUACUAAGUGAAAAUACAUAUGUACAUAACUAUGUGAUGAAUAAGUGCAAGUAUAUCAAUGUGAAAAGUUUUGAGCAAUGUGCUCGAUAGUUGAGCGAAUCUUUUAGCAAGAUAGAAUGGAGUAAGUGAAAUUAUGUAAAAGUGAAAUUUUGUAAUAAAACAAAUUUGGAAAGCAGCAGUUGUGUGACUUUGAAAAAAUUACCAAAAAUGGUAUAAAUUGAAUUAGAGGUUGAAUUAUAUUAAAUUAAAUCUUAAUGAGUCUAUUUUCUCAUAAAAGAAACGAUGAAGGAAAAAGAAUUUCAUAUUCUGUGAUAAUUGGAUUUUUGUUAGACAGGGUCAGAAUGAUUUUGGAAUCCAUUAUUCUGAUUUUGGAAAAUCAUUGAAAAUUAUAAAAAAAUAAUUGUAGCGACGUAAAAAUUUCUUCUUUUGGUCACUAAUUGAGGCGAUUUAUUGGAAAUUUAAAAACCUACUUUUGAUUUUAUUAAAAAAGGGAGUCGCCACCGAUCCUUUUUCCUAGGUGUGAUCGGGCACCUAAUAAAUCCUCUUUUUCAAAAGAAAAUUUAUUUUUAAACAAAAAGAAGGCCGAGUUUAGGUCUACGUUUAAAGCCAGAGAAAAAAAUAGGGUUCGGGAGUCGGUUACACACGAGGAAGGUAUUAGCACCCUCGCGACGUCCAAAAUUGGUAUCUUAUUAAACUUGUGUUGUCUUGAUUUUCAAAAGUACAAAUUCAAUCUGACAUUUACUCGUGAUCCAAUUGAAAAAUGAGAAUUUUUAGUUUUUGAUUCUUUAGAAAGGGUGUCCCGUUUUUAACAUGAGCCGAUGAAUUUCACCCAACAUAACGAUGAAAUUGAUGGCUUAAUGUUAAAUCGGUACAUUGCCUUAUUUUUGAAAUUAAUUAAAACAUGAGAAAAAAAUAUUCCUAAAGUGAGAAAUUAAAAAUAGAUAAACGAUACAAAAAAAGAUAUCAUUAAUGAAAAAUAUUAACAUGGAAUACUAGAAUAUUAGAAUAACAAUAAUAACGAUAUUUACAAACAAAAAAAAAUAAAAACAAAUCAUGUACUAAUAAUAAAAUAGGAAAAAAUGAUAUAUUUGGUAAUAAUAAUAUAAAAUAAUAAUAUGUACAUAAAAAUACAUAUAUAUAUAUAUAUGCAUAUAAUAAAUAUAUAUAAUAAUAAUAAUAUCUACAAUAAAAGAAAAUAUUAGGAAACGUACACAAAAAUAUAUACAUAAAUUUUUUUUACAACAAUAAUAUAAAAUAAUGAUAUGUACAAAAUAUAUAUAUAUAUGUACAUAAUAUAGUUAUAAAAAUAUAUAUAUUAAAUUCGGAAUAGGUAAAUAAUAAUAAAAAGGGUAAGAAUAUACCGAAGCCCCAAUGUUAUGGAUUACUGAAAUUAAUCUCUUUUCUUCUCGGGCUGUUGAAAUGGGCCUUUGUUGGUGAUCUUCACUGGAUCAGAUUGCCGCAAAUAGAGUCAGGUUGACCCGACCAUUUUAAAAUUUAAAAUUUUUUAUUAUUGUAGUUUUUUUAGACCAAUUUUUGUUUAGCCCAAUUACAAAUAUAAUCUACAUAAAAGAUACAAAAUCCAAAUUACUUCAACCCAACACAAACCAACCUCAGCCCACUAACUUAAUAAUCCAACACAACCAACGCAACCCACUAACUUAACAUAUCACCCAACCCACUAAUUAACCCAAACUAAAUUUAACCCAUCAAACCUUACAUAAACCAACCCAUUAACUAAAAUAUUUCUUUUUUUUUAAUACUAAACCCCCCCAAAACAAACAAGUUCCAGCAGCAAACAAAGAAAAUCCAAACUUCAAGCUGUCUAUUCUCCCUCUCCUUCCACCGUGCGCGUCACCAGAAGCCACCGUAUGCACCACAUGAAAUCAGGCUACGGGUAGUUGAGGUUUGGGUUUUGGGGUGGCUGAUAAUCGAUUGGCUCGGGUAUUUAGAGUGGGUUUCGGUUUGGGAGCUUGGUUGUGGUGUUAAUGGUGAUUAGUCCUUAGUUGCUUGGUUGCUUGCUGGAUAUUGGAGUUUUUUCUUGCUUAGAUUGCUGAAUGUUCCUUUUUUAUUGUUUUUUUUUUCUGGAAAAUUUUUUUGUUGAAAUUUUUUUUUUGCUCUUUUUUCUCAAAUGGGAGAAUCCUCCUCUUUUUUGUGUGGUUUUUUUUUUAAUUUCUCCCAUUUUGCUUGUUUUUAUGCUAUUUGCAGAUAGUGGGUGAAGAAGGAGCAGGCACCCAUGUUUGUGGCCUGAAAAUCUGGGAAGUGGGUACCCCAAAUCACGUAAUUUGUCUGAAGGACCAAAUCACAAAUACAGCAAAACUUAUGGGGCUAAAUGUAAUUUUUAGAAAAUUUAGGGUUAAAAUGCAAUUUAAGGAAAGUUUAGGGGUUUAAGUGAAAUUUAAAGAAAGUUUAAGGGUCAAAAUGAAAUUUAAGAAAAGUUUAGGGGUAAAAAUGUAAUUUUUAUUUUUUGAAAUUUUUUUAUUUUUAUUUUUUUGAAAUUUUGAAAAUUAAACAACAAACUCUUGUCGGACAAAAAUUUAGUGUUUACAGUUGCCCCUCUUUGCUCAUCUCUGUGAAACAGGGAUAGUGCAAAAACUUAAAAGCACUAAAUUUUGUUCGAUUGUCCAAUCUUCAUUCUUUAUUGAAAAACAAAAAAAAUUGAAAAUAGCUCGGGAUGCGACCUGAAGUUCAACUCACCUCUCGAAUUAUGAGUUGAUCUUUUGAAAAAGCAAAAAAUUGAAAAUACCUCAGCGUGAGCUGAGGCUUAACUCACCUCUCGCAAUAUGAGUUGAUUUUUUUGAAAGACAGAAAUUGAAAAUACCUCAAUGUGUCUUGAGGCUCAACUCAUUUCUCGCAAUAUGAGUUGACUUUUAAAAAAAAAAAUAGGAAUUGAAAUUACCUCAGCGUGUCCCGAGGCUCAACUCACCUCUCGUAAUAUGAAUUGAUUUUUGAAAAACAUAAAUUGAAAAACGGAAAUCGAAAAUACCUCAACGUGUCUUGAGGCUCAAUUCACCUCUCGCAAUAUGAGUUGAUUUUUGAAAAAUAUAGAUUGGAAAAAACAGAAAUUGAAAAUACCUCAGCGUGUCCUAAGACUCAACUCACCUCUCGCAAUAUGAGUUGAUUUAAAAACAGUCAUUAAGAACAGAAAUUAAAAAUACCUCAGUGUGUCCUGAGGCUCAACUCACCUCUCGCAAUAUGAAUUGAUUUUUGCAAAAUAUAAAUUGCAAAACAUAAAUUGCAAAACAUAAUACAUGCAAAAAUUAUACAACAAUAUAUAUCAUAAAAUAGCAUAUAAAAGAAAUAAUUAAACAUAGCAUAUAAAAAAAAUGAAACUAUGCACAAAUAAGAUAGAUGACAUACACUAAAAAAUGAAUAAAUAGAACAUUUACAAAUUAUAAAAAUAUAAUGCAAUAGUUCAAAAUACAUGAAAUGAUAAUAUAAUAUAUAUACAUGCAUAGAAAAUAUAUAUUUGAAAAUAAACUAUAUAAAAAGGUUAAAUAUUAUAAUAUAUAAAAUACAUAAUCAAAUGUAUAAAAGAUAGGAAUAAAUAUACAUAUUUGAAAAAUGAAGAAAUUAAAAUAAAAAAAGGGUUGAAAAACUAAGAUAGACGAAAAAUAAAAUAAGAACAAACCACAGAGAGUAAGAACGUAAGAGGGAGAGAAAUUUAAGUGAAUGCUCUCAAGAAUUCUUAUUGCUUCCCAAAACUCAAGUGAUUUACAAUGAAGGGAGAGACCUCUAUUUAUAGUUGAGCCUCCCAAAAUCCAACGGUACAGAUCAAUUACAUCAACGGUUAAGAUUAAAGGAUAUCUACAAAUUAAAUCUCCAAGAUUACAAGAUCAUAUCCUCAAGAUUGCAUAUCAUAUCUAAGAUUGUAUCAUAUCUAAUAUUGCAUAUCAUAUCUAAGAUUGCAUAUCCUUAAAGAUUAUAUUUCUAUAUGAGUCAAGCUCAUAGAUGGACCUUCAAUCUUUUCAAGUAAUGGGUCAUUUUGAUUGGGCCAAAUUAUAUGUUUGUAAUUUUGUACUGGACUUGGACUUUGUUUUUUUUUUGAACUUAUUUCUGGGCCCGGGCAAAAUUGAGUGUCUACAGCUGCCCGUCUUUACUCAUUGCUGUGUAGCAGGGAUAGAGCAAAGACUAUAAAAGGACCAAUUUUGCCCGGGCUCACCGAGUCUUGAGUUCUUGAUCCUUGAUCUUCUUUAAAUGGCCUCUUAACGGCUUCAAUCUGCUUCACUGCAACUCAGGAAGGCGAUAUCUGCUAUCUUUGAUCUGCUCCUCAUCUAAUACAGAGAAGCCAAAUCUGUUAUCUUCGAUCUGUUUUCUGACAAUAUAGAGAGCCAAAUCAUCUUAGAUCUGCUUCAGCGUAAACACGUAAAAGCCAAAUCUGAUGGAGGAAAGAAAAAUAAAAGGGUUAAAGAGUAAGAUUUGACGUGAAACAUUUUAUUAUAUAAACAACAUGUUAGAGUAGUAAAAGACAAAUCAAUAAGUUUUUAUUAUAUAGGCAAGGACCAAGCCAGGAAUUUGAUAUGGGUAACAAAUAAAAUUAUAAAAUUUUUAAGGUUAAAGGUAAAAAUUAUGUUUAUAAUUGGUUUAUAUUAAAUGUUCGAUAAAAGAAAGGGAUUAGAUUUGACAAUAGCCGAUUUAAUUAAGGGUAGUUCAUUUUAAGUCAUAAUGUUGAAUUUAGCUAUCAACAUCUACAUUUUGUUUUUAUCAAUUUGGCUCUAAUUCCGUUUUAAAUUAAAUUUGACCAUUAAUAUUACAAAAAAAGUCAAAUUACUUUUUUUUAACGGAAAUGCUGACUAGAACAUUAAUUUUAUAAUGAUGUUGGUGUGGUAACUCACGUGGUACUCCAUAUAUAUUUCAUACUGACAUGUCAUUAUUUUUUUUAUAUGUCAUAUCAAUAAAUAAUUUUAAAUUAUAAAAAUAUUUAAAAAAUAAAAAAAUUCAAAAAAAUAUAAAAUAUAAAAAAGUCAUAAAAAUUCAAAAAAAUUAAAAUACAUAUGAAUUAUCAUACAUGGGUGAUGUUUAAAAAUUUAGUGUUUUAAUUGAUAUUUUUAUUAAAAAAUAACAAUUUAACUAUUUUUUAAAAUUUUAAAAUUAAGUUAAAUUUAUUUUAAAAUUGAAAGUGAAAUUUAACUUAAAAAACACAAAACAAAUUAACAACAAAAAGAUUUGACGACUGUAAUUUAUAAUGACCGUAGACUUGAGUAGCCCCACAUGCACGAAAGCUUUCUGAAUCAUGAUUACUUGUAUUUAUUUCUAUAUGUUUUCUAGUACAUUAAACUAUUUAUAUAAUUAUUAUAUAUAAUUUCUGUAAUAUAUUUUCUUUAGUUAUAAUAAUUUAUUUCUAUAUCAUAAUUUGGUGGUUCGAGGGAAUGACGUAAAUUUCUUUUUGAUAUCGAAUUUGAGUUAUAAAUUCUUGUUAUAUCGUUCUAUUUUUUAAAUACAUGGCAUCUCGAGAAAUUAUUUGACGAAAGACCAAUGGAUGGUUCUCCAUUCCAUAUCACUAGGCUGGUCAUUAAGUAACCAGCCACCUGUGUACUCCGCUUGUUAUUAGGUCAUUCGCUUCUAGGGACCACUGAAGCAUAACAAUCUCAUAUUACUUAUGUUAGAGCAGUAUCACACUUGGUUGACUACACGAGAUGGUUACCACUUGUACUGUCGAUGAAGUAGCGCCACCAAGCAAGAGACCCUUCCCCUGUAAAUACCUUGAAGAACAAUGAAGAAGGGAAUUUUGACCACACGAGAUGGUCUCCUUUGCCUUCACAACCACCGUACUCCUUUUCCACUCCUCUCCUGUUUUGGCUCUCUACUUAUUUAGGUGAACUGACCUUUUUGUCCCCACCACCUUCUGCUCUUUAUUGUAUCAAGAAUUCUUAAAAGAGUUAAUAUGUGAUUUUACCAUUGUAUUAAUAUAAAAUUUUACAAAUUUUUGAUGGAUUAAACUAUUAACUUUUCAUUCUUGAAGGGGUAGAAUUGAAUUUUAAAUUUUAAAAGAAUCAAAAUAAAAUUUUACCGUUCAAUCAAUUUAAAAUUUUAUAAAUUUUUAAGAGAUCGAGAAAACAAUUUUCCAUUUUGAAAGGAGGCAAAGGCACUUGUUGGUCACAAAGAUCAAGAUUUAACCGCUCAAGUGAUAAAACAAGAAUCAAGGUGUUGCCCCCAAAAUGAUACAAUUGCAAUUAGAUCCCUUCAAAAAUUAAUUUUAAAAAUUAAUAUAAUAGUAAAAUAAAAAUGGGUAACUCCCUAUCUAACAAUAAAAUUAUUUGACUACGUAGUUUAUUAAAGAGUGCAACAUGAAACGAUUUUCACUUUUGUAUUCGAGUCCUGAGUGGCACAAUUUUCACCAGCUACUUCAAAACCUUUUAUAUAUUUUGAUUCAAGACGGUUAUUUCCUUAUAAGACUUUUGACAGGUAUAAAUAAAUAUCAUAUAAUAUAAACACAAAAAAAAAAGUUUGGAAAAAACAAGAUAAUUAAUAUAAUUAAUAUUCGAUCACUAGCUUUAUUCCCCCAGUAAUUCUUCACGGAAUUGAAUUACAACAAUUAUUGAGGUCCAUUUUUUUGGAUUGAAAUUUGUAUUCUACUAUUGAUCUGGUUUAGUAAUGGUACAAAGUAACAUUGUACUCGAGAAUAACAUCCCCUGUCGUCAAAUUUGCAAAAUUGAUUUGAGUUAGGGCAAAUCCUUGGGCCAUUCUAAACGCACCUCUCCCUCCUACAAUAGCCAAUUCACGAAUUGCAUCUGAAGAUGAACUCCUUGAGAUUAAACUAAAAGAGCUCCCAUUGAACCUACCACUCGUAAAUGCGAAAUCAGCGUACAUAACUGAAAUAAACACGGCAGGGUCUCGACUGGACGAUACAUAGAGUCCUUGAGCGUUUCCAAUCAACAUUGAUGUUGGUUCAGGCCCUACAGUAAGAGGGUCAUUAAUUGCAAACAAUGUGCCAAACCCGAAUGGGGAUGCUUGUGUGAUGUUGGGACGGGCUAUGACGACUGCACUGGGGUUUUCACCACUGACGGUAUCAUGAAGGAAGAAGUGGAGUCGGGUCAUCUUUUCUGCCCGCUGAGCAACUCGUGUAAUAGUUCUUGAGUAGUAUUGGCCAUAGACUGGCGCUAUAGUAAGGCAAAAUAUCAUUGCCAGUGCAAGUAUAUUGUGUUCCUUCUCCAUUUUUCUUCUCAAUAUUUUUACCUCAAUUAUAUUUGGGUUUUUGCUUCUUUGUUGUAUACACCUCACAAACUCCUUUAUAUAGAAUUUGGGUUGGAUGUUUAUUCCAUCUUUUCAUACUAGACUAUUUUGUGAAGGCUGAAAUUGAUAUUCCUCUCAUUUUCUUUCCAUAAAUUAGGUCAAAUGAAUUCUAGAAUAAACAAUAUGAUAAUGAUCAAAGAUAUAACAAUGGGUGUUUCGACAUUGGCAUAAAAGUGACUGAUUAGUCAAAACAGAAUACAAAUCAAACUAAAAUAAUGUCAUAUUUAUUAAUUAUAUAUAUAUGCAUUUGUGAUAUAUAAUUUUAUACAUUGUAAGUAACUUUUUUUUUUCUCAGUCAAAUGAUUACAAUAAAAAAAGCUGGGAACACCCGACCCAUACCAGAUCAAAUAAGAAAAAACAGCAGCCAAUCAAGCCAAAAUUGAACGCAACAAUAGAAUCAAAACAAAGUUACCAAUAAGCUCCAAAUCUGCUUUAGCCAAAUCAACCGUUAUUCCAAUUUUACCAUGAUAAGUGACAUCAAAUUGACACUCAUCCUCUUGCCACAAGUAAGUAAAUAAGAGGACAACAUAUUUCAAGAGCUUUUUAUAAAAAUAAACUAAUAAAGAAAAGAGAUAAAAUUAAACCUAAUUUACCAUAAUCUUUUAGGAAAUGUGAUGUAACCCUAAUAUAUUUAAUAUGAGCUCUCUCCAAACUACGUUCUUUAUAAAUAACUAUCAAUUAACCGCUCAAAGGUGAAUAAACAAUAAAAUUAUUUCACAGAAAAGUUCCUUAGAAUGAACGUAUUCAUAAAACUUAAAUCACAUUUUUUUCUAAGUAAAAUGAGAUAAAAAAAAUUUAAAUUCAAAAACUUUCUCUUCAAGUUUUUCUCCAUGACUUUUCAAACACAAUAUCUCCAAUAUUUAUUUUCAACGAUUUUCCAAAAUGACUUUCAAAAUUUAAAAUAUUUAUAAAAAUUCCAAACUUUAUAUUUUUAAAAAAUUUAAAAAAUUUAAAAAAUAUAUAAAGAAAAUUAAAAUUUUGAAAUUAUUCUAAAAUAAUAAUUUUGGAAGCUAAAUAAGAUAAUUAAUUAUUCAAGUUUAUGAUACUAAAGUAUCGUAUUUUUUAUUAUUUUGAUUUGAAAUUUUUUUUCUAACAUAUAUGAUUUCAAAAUUUUGUGUUCUAACAUGAAAUUAGUUAUACCAUAACAAGAUUUUAAUUUGACAUAUUUAAUUUUUUAAUUUAUCUCAAACAAUUUCAAUCGAUUCGACUCGAACACUCACCCCUAUCCCAGCCUUUAUAUUAUCUCCAUGUUUUAUCUUAAUGUCUUACAUUUAGACUAGGACUCUUCAAAGCUAGAUAAAGCUCUUCAAGUAUCAUACUCAAAAUAAAACUGUCAUAUUAAAGUCUUAUUAUGUUUUUACUGCUUAUAAUAAAAAUAAAUACUAAGUCAAAAAUUAUCAACCGAAGAUUUAAUUGGGACAUAAGUUGUGAUUUUAAAUAUGGUCACAAUCGAAAGUAAAAUUUACUCUAUAACUUGAUUCCUAACACAGAGAUUAUUUUAAAAAUAACAAAUAAUUUUGAAUUAAAUUAAAUUAACAUACUUACUAGUUUAAUUAAUUUUAUAAUGGAAAAUGGAGAACAAUGAUAUGUUUUUGGAUUUCAUAGUGAAAAAUCGUAGAAAUAACCGUGGUUGGUAAAUAUUAAACAAGCAAUUUAUUUAUUAAAUUUUUCAGAGGCAACAAAUAAUAAGUACAAGAAAUUCUAACAAGAUUUCCAACUUUAAACUUUUCUUUUGAAAUAAGUAAUAAAAAAUAAAUUAAAUUGAAAUACUGGUGUCAAUAUUCAGAUACUUUGUUGACCAUCCAGUUCAAUUUUCCGCCAUCCCAGGUGGGCUGCUGUCGUGGUAGCCAUGACCGCAGUCUUUGCCCCUACUUUUGUUGCAAAUGGUUCCUUCACUGUGACAACAGCCCCCUCGUGUCCAAGGCCUAAUGCCAUGAUUAUUUGUAUUUAUUUAUAACAACUUUUUGUUACAUUCAUUAACCUAUCUAUAUAAUUAUAAAUAAAAAAUUUAUUCCAUACAUUUUGAAAGUUAUAAACAUUCGAUGUUAUUUUGAAGAGAAUAAUAUGAAACUAUUCUCGCUUUUUUCAUUGAGUUUUGAGUUCCAAAAUUUUCGGAAAGGAUAAAUAAAAGUUAAAUAUAUAUACUAACAGUACAAGAGUUUGGAAAAACAUGAUAAAUAGUAUAAUUGAUAUCGGAUCACCAGCUUUACUCCCUUCGCGGGAUGAAUUCGGGAUGAAUUACAACAAUUAUUAAUAUUUAUUUUUUAGUCUUAUUAUUAGAUUUUUGUAUUAGGCAAUCAAUCUGAUUCCGUAAUGGUACAAAGUAACAUUGCAUUCGAGAAUAACAUCCCUUGUCGUCAUUUUUAUAAAAUUGAGCUGAGUUAGAGCAAACCCUCUUGCCAACCUAAACACACCUCUCCUCUAAUUUCUUGAACCUAGCCUAGACGUUGGGCUAGAUUGAUAAAAUUACAUGAGUCACCGAAAUGGUUAAGUUAACUUAUGUUACCUUUGAAGACUUUAAAUAAACUCAUUUUAAAGAAAAACCGUAGUUAUACUUUUGUGUUAGUUUAAAACAUUCAUUUAUUAGGUCAACUGCACUUAAGAUUCAUUUUAUUAUUGAUAGUAUUAUUUUAGAAAAACUGUUUGUUUGCCGCUUAUCUUUGUAAAAACUCGAUGUUAAACUAAUGCAACAGAAAAUACAAAUUUUCAAGUCAUUUUUGGAAACCUAGCUACCUUAUAGAUUUGUUCUUUGUAAAUAACUCCUUUGCAAUGUAGCGGAAACUAGGGAACAAUGUCAAAUUUUACUUAAGUUCGAUAUCAUGCAUUUUCUGGUUAUUAUGUUUAAGUAUUCCAUACAUGCAAAAAUCCCCAAAUGAAAAGUUACUAAGCCACAGACCAGAAAUAAUUAAAAAUUACAAACUAAAACCAAUAUAGACUAAAUAAUACUUAUUAAAAAUAGUCCAAGGUCCAAGAUGAUUCUCCGUACGCUGAGUUUGAUUCUAAUUUCAAGGUUAAAUUUAAACACUAUGAGGGGUGAGCUUACGAAAGCUCAAUGUGAGUUGAACAAUUAUUUAAACGGGCAUAAAUAUUAAAUAUAGUGAAACAUGUUAGCAUUAACAGAAGAACACAUAACCAUCAUUGGAAUUACAUACCAUUACAUAGUCAUUAUCAAAUCGAUGUUAAAUGGUAUAUGGGCAUGGGUCAUCAUUCAUUUGAAUAACAAUCAUUAAGUUUAAUACCAUUCAAUACAACACAAUACAAUACAUAGCAUAAAUCAAUAACAUUUGAGUAUGUCGUGACCAUGAUGCAAUGCAAAAAGGUUCCUAGCCAAACCAUCCACUACACACCACGAGUUCCCUAGAACCCGUCUGCUAAACUCCAACGAAUGUGAGCAUAGCUCGAUGUAGUAAAACCACUUAAUAACAAUAAUGCAGUAAAACUACCAAAUAAAAAAUAAUGUGAUAUAAUCAUCCAUCCCCUCGGUACUCCAAAUACAGUGCACUAACUAUGAAUAAAUGCAAACUUAAUAUGCCGCCGAUACUUCACGGAGCUUUUCCGUCAACCACAAAAUAUUCCAUCCCAAUGCACAUGCAAUAUGUCAUACAAUCUUAUACAUAGCCAUAAUUUAAUACUUUUCACAUUUAAUUGACAUGUUCAACAUGCCAACCAUAAUCAAAUACUUUCAGUGAAUGGAACCAAUAUUCCAACUUUCAAUUUACCAUUAAGAUGGUAUCAUUCAACAUUACACUAUUUCACAUACUUUUACAAAUUUCCAUUGUGCAUGUAUAGCAACUUUUCCAUUAUAACAUAGCAAAUUUUUCAUGCAGUUAUAUCAUGCAUAAACUCAUAUUUCAGCAAAUCAAGCUAUACAUACAACCAAUCUCAUACCAAAUAACACAAUCGUGCAUCACAAUAUCAAUCACAUAAUCACACUGUCAAACUAGCAAAUUUGAUAACACAUUAAUCUUUUAGGGCUCAAAAUGUACCUGAUUCAGCUAUUUACAAAAUUAAUUAUUUGGCUAUUAAGCCAACCCAAUCAGCAAGCUAAAUCAUCAAAUAUAAUAUGGUAAUUAUCAUUAUCAAACAAGUUUAUGAGUUUAGGACCCACACCUUAUUUUACGCUUUUUCGCAGCACACUAGCGAAUCUUCCGAUUUCUUUAAUAAACCUUAAAAUGAACCUAAAUUAAAAAUCAAUAUAAAUUCAAUUAAUUCACCUCUUAAACAGUCCCCUAAACACUCACUUAUGGGUUCAAACCAAUCAUCACAAUUACUAUUAUUUUACGAAUCCAAACUAGUUCGAUUUCUUACACUGUUUUGAUGCAAAUUGUACGCGUGAAUGUCUUUUGGCUUUACGGUUUAUUUGGGGCGUUUGAGUCAGCACCUAACACAUUUACAUAUUGGAAAAUCAGUAACCAAUAUUGAUUAAAAUCCUUCAUUUAAUCAAUAUAUAACCUUUACCCAAUAACUAUGUCGAAACAACAAACUAGUUUGCAUUUAAUCGCAUUUACACUUCCCCAUUUAUGAGAUCCGAAUGGCCAAUUGAUCAAGAACGUUUUUCCCUAAUUGAUAUGUAAUUAAAGGCUAACUAGGAAGCCCCCUUUCUUGCAGUUAGGCACAUGCACCACCACCCAUGGUAGCCAAAAUUAGGGUUGAUUCAAGAGCGAUUUUGAAAUCCUUUUAAAAGUUGGAAAAAUAACUUUGAAAUCUUUAAAAUUCUCCCAAAUUCCAGAUCUAGAAAUUUAGGUUUUUAAUUGACAAGAUUAAUUCAAAAUUGUAGAAAAAGGAGAUCUUACACAAGCUAGUUGAGAGAGACGGCAAUAGCUCUUUCUUGGCAAUGCUUGAAAUUGAUCUAGGAGUUUAAGAUUUCAGAUUUGGGGCUGAUUUAAUUGAGGAAAAAUGAUAGCAAUAUGGUAAAGGAUAUGAUGCACAAUCUUGAGGAAAAAAAUAAAAAGUAAGAGAUGAUAAAACUAGGUGUUAUGGUUGACAACAACAAUGGAAGAAGAAAGAAAAAUUAAAGAUCAAGGAAGAUAGGGGAGGGGAGGAAUGGCUAGGGUCAAGAAAAAUAGAAAAAAAAAAGCUGAUCAUUCAGUGUAAAAUUAACAUUUAUACCUAGGUUAAAAGGGCAUGGAUGGCACAUACAUUAAUUAAACAUAUAACACAUAAUAAUAAUUUAAGAUAUAACUAAUAUAAUUUUUCACAUUUAAAUAAAUCUAUAAAUAAUGAAUUAACCAUUAUACGAACUUACCUCGACAAAAGCAAUUGUAAAAACAAUUGUAAAUAAUAAUGGACUCAGGCCUUUUCCAUAGGGGCUGUUACCACUCUUAAAGAAGGUAUUUGCAACAAAAUUAAGCAGUGGCAAAGGUUGUGGUCAUGGCUAAAUUUAUCAGUUAAGUUAAUUCUCAAAGUUGAUUCAUUUCUCUUCUUUUUUGUGCUUUUUCAAUUUUUCUCUCAAAUUUCAUUGAAAUUAAUUUUCAUAAUAUUUAUUUCAAAAGAAAUAAAAUCAUAGUACUGAUAAAUUACAAAAUAUGAGUACAGAACUUUAUUUUAAGCCGUUACUCAAUGUUUAAAAGAUAAACUAUUUAUAUACAAAUAUAUAUUUAAUUUUAAAUCUAAAAAUAUAUAGAUUAACGAUUAAAGAGUUGUUACUUAAUUUAAAAAUAAUUAUACGUUUAAAAAAUCAAAAACUAUUUAUAAAAUAGCAUUACAUUAAAACAAUAAAAAAAAUCAAACUAUGAAAACGUUAUCAUCAUGGUCAUCUCAUUUGGAAAAAAAAAAAUCAAGCAUGAGGACUUUGAUAUUUGAAAUUAAAGGUUACUUCAAAUUUAUCCAAUGUGUCGGUCAAGAUAAUAACUAAGGUGCUAUAGGGUGGCUUAAGUCUUAACAUCGAAAAUUUUCUAGUCUUUUAUAUGGUCUGUUUGAAAAAUAUGUGAUGGAGGAAAGAAAAAUAAAAGGGUUAAAGAGUAAGAUUUGACGUGAAACAUUUUAUUAUAUAAACAACAUGUUAGAGUAGUAAAAGACAAAUCAAUAAGUUUUUAUUAUAUAGGCCAGGACCAAGCCAGGAAUUUGAUAUGGGUAACAAAUAAAAUUAUAAAAUUUUUAGGGUUAAAGGUAAAAAUUAUGUUUAUAAUUGGUUUAUAUUAAAUGUUCGAUAAAAGAAAGGGAUUAGAUUUGACAAUAGCCGAUUUAAUCAAGGGUAGUUCAUUUUAAGUCAUAAUGUUGAAUUUAGCUAUCAACAUCUACAUUUUGUUUUUAUCAAUUUGGCUCUAAUUCCUUUUUAAAUUAAAUUUGACCAUUAAUAUUACAAAAAAAGUCAAAUUACUUUUUUUUUAACGGAAAUGCUGACUAGAACAUUAAUUUUAUAAUGAUGUUGGUGUGGUAACUCACGUGGUACUCCAUAUAUACUUUAUACCGACAUGUCAUUAUUUGUCUUCUAUGUCAUAUCAAUAAAUAAUUUUAAAUUAUAAAAAUAUUUAAAAAAUAAAAAAAUUCAAAAAUAUAAAAAAUAUAAAAAAGUCAUAAAAAUUCAAAAAAAUUAAAAUACAUAUGAAUUAUCAUGCAUGGGUGAUGUUUAAAAAUUUAGUGUUUUAAUUGAUAUUUUCAUUAAAAAAUAACAAUUUAACUAUUUUUAAAAUUUUAAAAUUAAAUUAAAUUUAUUUUAAGAUUGAAAGUGAAAUUUAACUUAAAAAACACAACACAAAUUAACAACAAAAAGAUUCGACGACUGUAAUUUAUAAUGACCGUAGCCUUGAGUAGCCCCACAUGCACAAAAGCUUUCUGAAUCCAUGAUUACUUGUAUUUAUUUCUAUAAGUUUUCUAGUACAUUAAACUAUUUAUAUAAUUAUUAAUAUAAUUUCUCUAAUAUAUUUUCUUUAGUUAUAAUAAUUUAUUUCUAUAUCAUAAUUUGGUGGUUCGAGGGAAUGAUGUAAAUUUCUUUUUGAUAUAUGUCGAAACCAUUUUUAAAUCGAGUUUUAGAAAAUGAGAAUCGACUUUAAGAAAAACGAAAACGGGAGUCGCCACCAAUUUUUUUAGGUGUGAUUGGAUCACCUUAUAAAAUGUUUUGUUUUAAAACAUUAAUUUUGGUCUACGAAAGUCAAGAAAACGGAUUCGGGAGUCGGUUAAGUACGAGGAAGGGUUAGCACCCUCGUAACGCCCAAAAAUUGGUACCUAAUUGAUUAUCAAGUGUCUUUAAUGUCGAAAAUUUGAAAGUUUUAAGAUGCAAACCUCUUUUAAUUAGAAUGUCUCAAUUUUGAAAAUUAAGGCUCACUUAUUUUAAACGAGUCAAAAUAUCACAUCUAGUAAGUUAGGACGCAACAUUUUAAAACCUUCGAAACUAAGCUCGUCUUUCGAAAAUUUCUAUCUCGAAACAACAAAACGCCAUAUCCAGUAAGUUAGGACACUAUGUUUUGAAAUCUCGAAAUAAUUGUCUAAGUUUUGAAAACUCAAAAUCAGUUAGAAAGGUGCUUGACUAUUUGAAUUCAACGAGAAAAGUCGCAACCCAAUAAGUUAGGGCACUACCUUUCUCGAAGUUUUCAAACAUCAAGCAUUGCCUUUUAAAAAAAAAACAUUGAAAUAUUAUUUUAAAUGACGUUUUAGGAUGACAUAUUAAUGCAUCAUGGAGCAUAGAUGUACAAAAUAUUCUAACAUUUCCAUACAAACAUAAAUAAUAUCAUUAAGACAAAACUAAAUAACAUGAACAAACGUUUAAUGAAAAAAAAUCAUACUAGGGUAAAUAUAAGAUAAUAAACAAAUAAAAAUAUGAGUAAACUAAAAGAAAAACAUAAUACAUGCAAAAAUUAUACAACAAUAUAUAUCAUAAAAUAGCAUAUAAAAGAAAUAAUUAAACAUAGCAUAUAAAAAAAUGAAACUAUGCACAAAUAAGAUAGAUGACAUACACUAAAAAAUGAAUAAAUAGAACAUUUACAAAUUAUAAAAAUAUAAUGCAAUAGUUCAAAAUACAUGAAAUGAUAAUAUAAUAUAUAUACAUGCAUAGAAAAUAUAUAUUUGAAAAUAAACUAUAUAAAAAGGUUAAAUAUUAUAAUAUAUAAAAUACAUAAUGAAAUGUAUAAAAGAUAGGAAUAAAUAUACAUAUUUGAAAAAUGAAGAAAUUAAAAUAAAAAAGGGUUGAAAAACUAAGAUAGAUGAAAAAUAAAAUAAGAACAAACCACAGAGAGUAAGAACGCAAGAGGGAGAGAAAUUUAAGUGAAUGCUCUCAAGAAUUCUUAUUGCUUCCCAAAACUCAAGUGAUUUACAAUGAAGGGAGAGACCUCUAUUUAUAGUUGAGCCUCCCAAAAUCCAACGGUACAGAUCAAUUACAUCAACGGUUAAGAUUAAAGGAUAUCUACAAAUUAAAUCUCCAAGAUUACAAGAUCAUAUCCUCAAGAUUGCAUAUCAUAUCUAAGAUUGUAUCAUAUCUAAUAUUGCAUAUCAUAUCUAAGAUUGCAUAUCCUUAAAGAUUAUAUUUCUAUAUGAGUCAAGCUCAUAGAUGGACCUUCAACCUUUUCAAGUAAUGGGUCAUUUUGAUUGGGCCAAAUUAUAUGUUUGUAAUUUUGUACUGGACUUGGACUUUGUUUUUUUUUUUUUGAACUUAUUUCUGGGCCCGGGCAAAAUUGAGUGUCUACAGGUGCCCGUCUUUACUCAUUGCUGUGUAGCAGGGAUAGAUCAAAGACUAUAAAAGGACCAAUUUUGCCCGGGCUCACCGAGUCUUGAGUUCUUGAUCCUUGAUCUUCUUUAAAUGGCCUCUUAACGGCUUCAAUCUGCUUCACUGCAACUCAGGAAGGCGAUAUCUGCUAUCUUUGAUCUGCUCCUCGUCUAAUACAGAGAAGCCAAAUCUGUUAUCUUCGAUCUUUUUUCCGACAAUAUAGAGGGCCAAAUCAUCUUAGAUCUGCUUCAGCGUAAACACGUAAAAGCCAAAUCUGCUAUAUCUUCGAUUUGCUCCUUAUGAACACAAAGAUGCCAAAUCAUCUUGGAUCUGCUUCAGUAAAAUCAUAUGAAGGUUAGAUCUGCUAUGUAUCUGCUCUCCGUCAAAAUGGAGAUGCCAGAUCUGUUAUCUUGGAUCUACUUUAGUGUGAGAACAUCCGAAAGCCAAAUCUACUAUGUCUUCGAUUUGCUCUCCGUCGAAUAUAGAGACGCCCGAUCUGCUAUCUUCGACUUGUUCCCUAUCAUUGCAGAGAUACCAAAUCAUCUUGGACCCUACUGCUUAGGGGGUUAAGGUGCAUCAUCUUUGAUCUGCUUCGCUACUGCUUAGGGAUAAGAUCUACAAAUUUAACCUCUUACCCUACUCUUAAGGGAUUAAGGUGGGUCUUCGAUCUGCUCCACUACUGCUUAGGGAGAUAAGAUCUGCAAAUUUAACCUGUUACCCUACUUCUUAGGGGAUUAAGGCGAGUCGUCGUCGAUCUGCUCCGCUACUACUUAGGGAGAUAAGAUCUACGAACCUGUUACCCUACUGCUUAGGGGAUUAAGGCGAUUCUUCGAUCUGCUCCACUACUGCUUAGGGAGAUAAGAUCUGCAAAUUUAACCUGUUACCCUACCGCUUAGGGGAUUAAGGCGAGUCUUCGAUCUGCUCCACUACUGCUUAGGGAGAUAAGAUCUGCAAAUUUAACAUGUUACCCUACUGCUUAGGGAAUUAAGGCGAGUCUUCGAUAUGCUCCACUACUGCUUAGGGAGAUAAGAUCUACAAAUUUAACCUGUUACCCUACUGCUUAGGGGAUUAAGGCUGGUAUUUGAUCUGCUCCACUACUGCUUAGGGAGAUAAGAUCUGCAAAUUUAACCUGUUACCCUACUGCUUAGGGGAUUAAGGUGAGUCUUCGAUCUGCUCCACUACUGCUUAGGGAGAUAAGAUCUGCAAAUUUAACCUGUUACCCUACUGCUUAGAGGAUUAAGGCGAGUUUUCGAUCUGCCCCACUACUGCUUAAGGAGAUAAGAUCUGCAAAUUUAACUUGUUACCCUACUGCUUAGGGGAUUAAGGCACUGAAUUUUGUAAUUUUCAAUCAACCUUGCUACAUUGUCCACUGGGGAAUCCACCUGUAGAAUUGAUUUCCUGGAAUUUAUGCUUAUGCCAAAUAAUUAAGAUGCCAUGAUCGAAAUGAGUCAAAUGUUCCUAAUUAGACAUAUUAUGAUGCAAAAUGUUUAUGAAAAUAACUCCUAUUUUGGACGUCAUGACUCAUUCAUCUAUCGAGCUUUCCACCUCGUUCUUCUCGACAUAUCAAUCAUACUCUGCUUGUAUGCCUCGAAUCUUCUCCAUCAAUUUGGUCUACCGUACCAUUCCCCGAAUGUUACGACCCACUGAAGAUGUUUAUAAAAUGAUCAUUUCUUAAGAUCAAUAUUGCUUAAAAUGUCUAACCACCUUUUAGACUGAAGAAGAAAAUCUCUCGAAUAUCUCCAACCCAUACAUAUGAGAAUUCCUUAAACAAUUGUCUUGUUUCAGUUUCUUGUAUUAUUUAGAAAUUUCCAGAGUAAUAUGCAAAACUUCGUUUGUGAAGAUAUUUUAGUUCAUCUAUCAUUAUUUCAAUGCAACAUGCUUUAUGAAUAAUGGGAGACAAAUAAAUUGAUCCUGAGGAUAAUUAGAUUUGGACAAAUUAUUGGAAGGAAUGCAAAAAGAUUAACCUGAGAACAUAUCUUUGCGAAGAAAAAGAAUCCAAAGAUAGUAAAUAGGACAGAAAUCAGAUGCCCUAGAUAUCGCCGUUUGAGCGUCUAUACACCAGCUCUAUGAAGACUUUCUUGAGUUCAACAUGUGUUUAAAAGAUCAAAAGUAAUUCGUUGAUACCUCGAUAUGUAAUAUACUUCACUUCUCGUCGAAUCCGGUAUAACAAGGUCACUGCAUGACUUUCUAAAUUUGAGCUGCCCUUUCGGGUUUUCAACUCAAAACCCCUUUGGUCUCAAGGUGCCCUUUGCGGGUUUUCACCUUGGCCUCUCCAUUUUUUUUCUUUUUUCUUUUUUUUCUCUUUUUCUUUUCUUUUUUCCUUUUUUUGAAAUAGAAGUCCUAAAGUGCCCUUUGCGGGUUUUCACCUUGGCUUCCCUUCUCCUUCAGACAAAGUACUCAUUGACCGAGUCCGAAUUCACUGGAUCAGAUAAAUUCUUCCUAUCCAUUUCUUGUCAAAAUCAAUGCACCUCUAGAGAAAGCCCUCUUCGCAACAUAUGGCCCUUCCCAAUUUGGCAUCCUUUUGCAUGGGAAGGAUCUCUUUUAGCACAAGGUUUCCUUUUUGAAAUUCUUUUGGACGAACCUUCUUUGUCAUAAGUCUAUGUCAUCUAUUCUUGGUACAUUUGCUUAGGAUGAAUACUUUCAAGUUAAGUUUACUAGAGGUAUUCAAUUCUUGACUCCAUCAAAGCUUAGAGGAAAAAUCUUGAUUCAUAAACCCAUGAGAAAGGGAUUGCCCUAGCAGCAGUCCUGGCUGUUGUUUUUCAAACCCUACAAAAAGAUGGUUCAAUGAUUCUCAGCAGAAAAGAAUGAAUUGCUGACUUUAUCCUUCAACCUGGAAAGCUGAGGUACAGGGAUUACUCCCGGAACAUACAUCCCACCAUGACUCGAUGAUGUUUCUGAAGCAUCCCUAAUCUUCAUAAAUUGCCCCCAACUGUGAAGCUGCCAAAUGAGCCUAGCAAAUAGGAGCCACAACAAAUAUGGCUGUGGUGCUCCUUUGAUACAUAUAGGAUAAAGAAUGAACAAACUAUUGCAGAUCAUUAGCUGAAAACCCAGCCUAGUCUAAGAGAACGUGAUAGUGGGUCUGCCUCGUGAUUCCAAUCAUUCCAGCAUGGGUACCAAGGUAAAAAUCAUUGUUCUUUGGAUGACAUACUUUGUUGUCAAUGACAGUACCAUGUAGCACAUUCGAAUAGUCAGUAUGUAAAUUUCUUUUUGAUAUCUGUCGAAACCAUUUUUAAAUCGAGUUUUGGAAAAUGAGAAUCAACUUUAAGAAAAACGAAAAUGGGAGUCGCCACCAAUCUUUUUAGGUGUGAUUGGAUCACCUUAUAAAAUGUUUUGUUUUAAAACAUUAAUUUUGGUCUACGAAAGUCGAGAAAAUGGAUUUGGGAGUCGGUUACGUACGAGGAAGGGUUAGCACCCUCGUAACGCCCAAAAAUUGGUACCUAAUUGAUUAUCAAGUGUCUUUAAUGUCAGAAAUUUGAAAGUUUUAAGAUGCAAACCUUUUUUAAUUAGAAUGUCUCAAUUUUGAAAAUUAAGGCUCACUUAUUUUAAAUGAGUCAAAACAUCACAUCUAGUAAGUUAGGACGCAACAUUUUAAAACCUUCGAAACUAAGCUCGUCUUUCGAAAUUUCUAUCUCGAAACAACAAAACGCCAUAUCCAGUAAGUUAGGACACUAUGUUUUGAAAUCUCGAAAUAAUUGUUUAAGUUUUGAAAACUCAAAAUCACUUAGAAGGGUGCUUGACUAUUCGAAUUCAACGAGAAAAGUCGCAACCUAGUAAGUUAGGGCACUACUUUUCUCGAAGUUUUCAAACAUCAAGCAUUGCCUUUUAUUUUUUAUUUUUAAAAAACCUUGGAAUAUUAUUUUAAAUGACGUUUUAGGAUGACAUAUUAAUGCAUCAUGAAGCAUAGAUGUACAAAAUAUUCUAACAUUUCCAUACAAACAUAAAUAAUAUCAUUAAGACAAAACUAAAUAACAUGAACAUACGUUUAAUGAAAAAAAUCAUACUAGGGUAAAUAUAAGAUAAUAAACAAAUAAAAAUAUGAGUAAACUAAAAGAAAAACAUAAUACAUGCAAAAAUUAUACAACAAUAUAUAUCAUAAAAUAGCAUAUAAAAGAAAUAAUUAAACAUAGCAUAUAAAAAAAUGAAACUAUGCACAAAUAAGAUAGAUGACAUACACUAAAAAAUGAAUAAAUAGAACAUUUACAAAUUAUAAAAAUAUAAUGCAAUAGUUCAAAAUACAUGAAAUGAUAAUAUGAUAUAUAUACAUGCAUAGAAAAUAUAUAUUUGAAAAUAAACUAUAUAAAAAGGUUAAAUAUUAUAAUAUAUAAAAUACAUAAUGAAAUGUAUAAAAGAUAGGAAUAAAUAUACAUAUUUGAAAAAUGAAGAAAUUAAAAUAAAAAAAAGGGUUGAAACACUAAGAUAGACGAAAAAUAAAAUAAGAACAAACCACAGAGAGUAAGAACGCAAGAGGGAGAGAAAUUUGAGUGAAUGCUCUCAAGAAUUCUUAUUGCUUCCCAAAACUCAAGUGAUUUACAAUGAAGGGAGAGGCCUCUAUUUAUAGUUGAGUCUCCCCAAAUCCAACGGUACAGAUCAAUUACAUCAACGGUUAAGAUUAAAGGAUAUCUACAAAUUAAAUCUCCAAGAUUACAAUAUCAUAUCUUCAAGAUUGCAUAUCAUAUCUAAGAUUGCAUAUCCUUAAAGAUUAUAUUUCUAUAUUAGUCAAGCUCAUAGAUGGACCUUCAAUCUUUUCAAGUAAUGGGCCAUUUUGAUUGGGCCAAAUUAUAUGUUUGUAAUUUUGUACUGGACUUGGACUUUGUUUUUUUUUUUUUGAACUUAUUUCUGGGCUUGGGCAAAAUUGAGUGUCUACAAUAUCGAAUUUGAGUUCUAAAUUCUUGUUAUAUCGUUCUAUUUUUUAAAUACGUGGCAUCUCGAGAAUUUAUUUUAGAAAGACCAAUGGAUGGUUCUCCACUCCAUAUCACUCGGCUGGUCAUUAAGUAACCAGCCACCUGUGCACUCCACUAGUUAUCAGGUCACUCACUUCUAGCGAGAACUACUUACCACCAAGAGAGAAUCACUACGGACCACCGAAGCAUAACAAUCUCAUAUUACCUAUGUUAGACCAGUAUCACACUUGAAGGCAACUGACCAGCCACUUGGUCGAUCACACGAUAUGGUUACCACUUGUACUGUCGAUGAAGUAACGCCACCAAGCAAGAGACCCUUCCCCUGUAAAUACCUUGAAGAACAAUGAAGAAGAGAAAUUUUACCACACGAGAUGGUCUCUUUUGUCUUCACAACCACCUUACUCCUUUUUCACUCCUCUCCUGUUUUGGCUCUCUACUUAUUUAGGUGAACCGACCUUUUUGUCCCUACCACCUUCUGCUCCUUAUUGUAUCAAGAAUUCUUAAGAGAGUUAAUAUGUGAUUUUACCAUUGUAUUAAUAUAAAAUUUUACAAAUUUUUGAGGGAUUAAUUUUAAAUUUUAAAGAAUCAAAAUAAAAUUUUACCGUUCAAUUAAUUUAAAAUUUUAUAAAUUUUUAAGAGAUCGAGAAAACAAUUUUCCAUUUUGAAAGGUGGCAAAAGCACUUGUUGGUCACAAAGAUCAAGAUUUAACCGCUCAAGUGAUAAAACAAGAAUCAAGGUGUUGCCCCCAAAAUGAUACAAUUGCAAUUAGAUCUCUUCAAAAAAUAUAAUUUUAAAAAUUAAUAUAAUAGUAAAAUAAAAAUGGGUAACUCCCUAUCCAACAAUAAAAUUAUUUGACUACGUAGUUUAGAGUGCGACAUGAAACGAUUUUCACUUUUGUAUUCGAGUCCUGAGUGGCACAAUUUUCACCAGCUACUUCAAAACCUUUUAUAUAUUUUGAUUCAAGAAGGUUAUUUCCUUAUAAGACUUUUGACAGGUAUAAAUAAAUAUCAUAUAAUAUAAACACACAAAAAAAUAGUUUGGAAAAAACAAGAUAAUUAAUAUAAUGAUAUUCGAUCACUAGCUUUAUUCCCCCAGUAAUUCUUCACGGAAUUGAAUUACAACAAUUAUUGAUAUAUAUUUUUCAGUAUUGAAAUUUGUAUUCUACUGUCGAUCUGGUUUAGUAAUGGUACAAAGUAACAUUGCACUCAAGAAUAACAUCCCCUGUCGUCAAAUUUGCAAAAUUGAUUUGAGUUAGAGCAAACCCUUGGGCCAUUCUAAACGCACCUCUCCCUCCCACAAUAGCCAAUUCACGAAUUGCAUCUGAAGAUGAACUCCUUGAGAUUAAACUAAAAGAGCUCCCAUUGAACCUGCCACUCGUAAAUGCGAAAUCAGCGUACAUAACUGUAGUAAACACAGCAGGGUCUCGACUGGAUGAUACAUAGAGUCCUUGAGCGUUUCCAAUCAACGUUGAUGUUAGUGCAGGCCCUACGGUAAGGGGGUCAUUAAUUGCAAACAAUGUGCCAAACCCGAAUGAGGAUGGUUGCGUGAUGUUGGGACGGGCUAUGACGACUGCACUGGGGUUUUCACCACUGACGGUAUCAU
rnacentral:lncRNA from 1 species